CCAGACAGCCAGGAUGUUGGCUUAGAAGCAGCCAUCAUUUAAAGAAAGCGUAAUAGCUCACUGGUCGAGUCGGCCUGCGCGGAAGAUGUAACGGGGCUAAACCAUGCACCGAAGCUGCGGCAGCGACGCUUAUGCGUUGUUGGGUAGGGGAGCGUUCUGUAAGCCUGUGAAGGUGUGCUGUGAGGCAUGCUGGAGGUAUCAGAAGUGCGAAUGCUGACAUAAGUAACGAUAAAGCGGGUGAAAAGCCCGCUCGCCGGAAGACCAAGGGUUCCUGUCCAACGUUAAUCGGGGCAGGGUGAGUCGACCCCUAAGGC
rnacentral:rRNA from 1 species